rnacentral:rRNA from 1 species
UACCAGCUCUCCGAGUGGUAGGGAUGAUUAUUGGGCUUAAAGCGUCCGUAGCCGGCUUAGCAAGUCUCCUGUUAAAUUCAGCGACCUAAUCGUUGAGCCGCGGGAGACACUACUAGGCUAGGAGGCGGGAGAGGCCGACGGUAUUCUCGGGGUAGGGGUGAAAUCCUAUAAUCCCGGGAGGACCACCAGUGGCGAAGGCUGUCGACUAGAACGCGCUCGACGGUGAGGGACGAAAGCUGGGGGAGCGAACCGGAUUAGAUACCCGGGUAGUCCCAGCUGUAAACGAUGCGGGCUAGGUGUUGGGGUGGCUACGUGCCACUUCAGUGCCGCAGGGAAGCCAUUAAGCCCGCCGCCUGGGGAUACGGCCGCAAGGCUGAAACUUAAAGGAAUUGGCGGGGAGCACCACAAGGCGUGAAGCUUGCGGUUC